rnacentral:misc_RNA from 1 species
UUAAGUUCAGCGGGUAUCCCUACCUGAUCCGAGGUCAAGAGUGUAAAAUGUACUUUUGGACGCUGUCGUUAUGAGUGCAAAGCGCGAGAUGUACUGCGCUCCGAAAUCAAUACGCCGGCUGCCAAUUAUUUUAAGGCGAGUCUACACGCAAAGGCGAGACAAACACCCAACACCAAGCAAAGCUUGAAGGUACAAAUGAC